GAUGAACGCUAGCGGCAGGCCUAACACAUGCAAGUCGAGGGGUAACUAGAGUGAUAGCAAUAUUACUUUGGCUAGACCGGCGCACGGGUGCGUAACACGUAUGCAACCUACCUUAUACUGGGGAAUAACUUCGAGAAAUCGGCGCUAAUACCCCAUAACAUUGCGAAGAGGCAUCUCUUUGCAAUUAAAGCUCCGGCGGUAUAAGAUGGGCAUGCGUCCAAUUAGCUAGUUGGUGAGGUAACGGCUCACCAAGGCUACGAUUGGUAGGGGUUCUGAGAGGAUGAUCCCCCACACUGGUACUGAGACACGGACCAGACGCCUACGGGAGGCAGCAGUGAGGAAUAUUGCGCAAUGGACGAAAGUCUGACGCAGCCAUGCCGCGUGCAGGAUGACGGCCCUAUGGGUUGUAAACUGCUUUUGUACGGGGAUAAACCCUUCUACGUGUAGGAGGCUGAAGGUACCGUAAGAAUAAGCACCGGCUAACUCCGUGCCAGCCGCCGCCGUAAAAC
rnacentral:rRNA from 1 species